rnacentral:tRNA from 1 species
GUUUUAAUAAUUUAAUGAAAAUAUUGGUCUUGUAAAUCAAAAAUAAGGAAACUUUUAAAACC